AAAAAUGAAGGUGAGAUUGUGGAGGGUUUGUGAGCGGAGACGAUGAAAUGCGGAAGCUUAGGGGAGUGAGAGUUUUUUGGGAGAGUGGCGGCUAGGUCUGCUGUCUGUCGAGAAGAGGAACGAUUGUUUCACUUUUUAUUUAUUUUUAUUCUUUUGUCCUUUUGUUUUUAGAGAGAGGGAUCUCUUCCUGAGAUCCUCAAGAGAGACGUUGAGAGUCCCUCUUUUGGAAGGAGAGAUUUUUUAUUUUUAUUCUUAACUUAUUCCUAUAUUUUUUGAUUGGCUGAAAUAGAAAUUACAUGGAUUGCAAGCAUGAACCAUUAAUCAAUUGAAUCUAAUGGUCAAAAUGAAAGCAAAGAAACACAACUAAUUUA
rnacentral:lncRNA from 1 species